ensembl:lncRNA
GUUUAAAUGAAUGCUGACAAGAAGAAAAAAAAAAUGGCUGUCUAUGCAGUAUAAAUGCAUCUCUGCUACAUGGCUAGAGAAAGCAGAGAAAAGGGCUGUGGCAAAAAGCUGGAGCUCUGCACUGGAAAAAGUAUGUCUUUGA